CCCUUAGAUAUCCUAGGCUGCACGCGAGCUACAAUGGUAUAUAUAAAAGGUUGCUGCUCUGAGAAGACUGGCAAUACCCUGAUAUAUAUCGUAUUUGGAAUAGAUUUUUGUAAUUAUCAAUCUUGAACGAGGAAUUCCUAGUAAAAAUAUUUCAUCAUAAUGUUUUGAUUGUGUCCCUGCCCUUUGUACACACCGCCCGUCGCUCCUACCGAUUGAAUAUUCCGGUGAGAAGAUAGGAGAAAAAUCUUUUGAUUUUUGAAUAUUUUUGAACCUUGAUAUUUAGAGGAAGGAGAAGUCGUAACA
rnacentral:rRNA from 1 species